GUAACUGAUUCCAAUUAAACAAGAUUUCGCCCGAGUAUUGCGCUUUAUAUAGAAUAUUUAUUCGAUCUCCUCGAAUGAACAGGUUUUUCACCGUAAAUUUUUCACGGUAUAAAUGUUGAAGAACGCUUAAACCUCUGAUAUGUAUACUAAUUUGUUUUUUAAUGAAAUCUAUGAAAACCAUAAUCCUGGCGUACUGUGUGAAUUUCGUUCUGAAUUUUACUUGAAAAGUUUUGCUUCUGUUUUAUCAUUUCUCCGAUGAUCACAGAUCAGCUUUCCCAAUGAAGCCUAGGGUUCUUUUGCGUGAAAUGGCCUUUAACUUCUACCGUCUCGAGCAUAAAACCCGAAUAUCCUUACUCGCAAUACAUUCUAAUACCACCACCAUUCUACCUGGGAAACUUUAUACGGUUCACAGACGCACCGAUACGUACACUUCAACGAAAGAACAGCUAGGUGCACCUACCGUGCGUUUGUAUUCGUAUUGGAUGCCAUUCUACCAACUGCAAGCUUUUACGACUUACGUGCUACGCUCCUCACUUUACGUGUACGCUCUAUACGUAACGUUAUGCCCUCGUAACUUCGUCCAAGCGUGUUGAUUGCACCGUCGAAAUAUCCAGGUUUGAGAUAUCGACGAUCUACAGGAAAAGCAGCUCACAACAACACACGAGAGAGAAGUAAAGGCGACCGAGGAGAAUGGUUAAAGACAAAAUGGCGUGUACACGGAAACUGAUGGAAAGAUUGCAAUCACAUUAAAGAAAACUACCAAAAACCAAUAUUUUCUAACCAAGAUUACGCAGAUGAAAUUCGAUCGAUAUUCGACAUGAUAUCUUAUUUCGCUAAUUGAAAAUUCACUUUUCAAUAACUUCUGUAAGUAAUAACGAUACGAUUUCUAACAUGAAAAAUUCUUUUAAUAUUACUAAUUCAAAAGUUAUAAAAUCGUCUCCUGACCGUCCAACUGGGAUGACAGCCCUUGUUUACGCAGGACAUUUCAAAACAAUUCUGAACAAUUUUUAUGAAAAUUAUUGAAUAAUCUACUCAAUCCAGCUAACGUACUGAAUCCAUCGCUAAAGUUAUGUUCGCAUGUUUCGAAACAACCUGUAUAGCAGAAAGAAAAUAUCGCAAAAUCGAACGAUAUUAAAUGUCUAAACGUUUUUAAAAAUUCAAUAAUUUACUGCAUUUAUGUCGUGCUUUAACGUACUGUAAAUCAUAACCUAAACGUAUUCCCAGCAACAGGAAUCUCUUGAAACGAAUACCGACUUCUCAUGGAAUGGUCAAACCAAGAAACAAGGUACAUGUACAACAAAAUUUAAGUACACGUACCUGUUGGCUAAAUGACAAAUCGUAGUACGGAAUUGAGACACAGUGUAACGAAUCUGCGACAAAAACAAAGAAGAUUUAGUUUUUGUGUUCAGACUCGAAAUGGUAACAGAAUAAUUCUAUUUGUAUAAAGAUCUUUACUGCAUAUGCUUUUAGUUUAUGUUUAACAGUAGUAAACCUUCGCUAUUCCUCUAUUAUAUUGUAAUAUUAUAUUGUGGGAAUAGAUGUAUAUGAUAAACAAAUGUGCAAUAAAUAAACAGCGUAACUGUACGUGUACUUACGUGUAUUUUGCAUAUAUGUUCAAGGCAUUGGAAUAUUCUGAACCAAAUUCAUUUUCUGUAUUAUUGAUUUGCAUAUGUUAAUGACGUUCGUGUUAAAUGAAUCGUACGUACGUGCGAUUUGAUUUCGAUUCAUUGUUUUAUUGCAAGUCGUAUAAUAAAGCUAUUGUUUCCACAAAUACAAUAUUCUCUUUCUCCUACAAUAUAAGAGUUCAUGAGCUCAAACGAGAUAGUAAUUUCCACAUAAUUGAAAGUAUUAUCAUUGUUGCGAUAGACUUCGCGACCAUUCACAAAAUUACUGUAACUUGCAGAUCGCACUGAUGUGCACCGAACAAUUAAGUUAUUUCACUUUGUUGAAAAAAUCCAAAGUUUCGAAAAUGUGUCCGAUGACGCGACUUUAUCUGAAAGUCGAGUAGAGUUGCCCGAGUCCGAAUCCAUCCUACCCGAUCUGCUCGUUCUAUUUUCGUGACGCUCUUACACCCUCUUAAAAACCCUAGGUUCGUCCCCCUCCAAUAUGUCUUUAGGUGGAAGUUAUCCAAGAUGUCAUAGGGUGGAAGAAACCAAUGAAUUUAUUAACAGCGCAAAAAAAAACUUUUUCUGAAAAAGAGACAAGAGUACAAAGUUUAAAAAAAGCGUUUCAUUUAAAACAUAUAUACCUGUCAAAUAGUACAAAGAUUCCUUGUACGAAUAUUUUCGUAACAACUUUGAUCUGAAAUAUUUUUUCGCAUCUUCAAUAACUACGGAGAUACUCGAGUGUACGCGAAUAAAACAGACAUAUGUACUUUCGUAAAUAAUGAUAGCAUGUGUCUGCUAUCUUUAUUUUCUUAAGGAUACUGCAAAAACUGUGAACCGUAAGAAAUAGUACGUAGGUAAUCAUGACGCCUCUGCAAGAAGAAAUUCGCUAUCAGAAUGAGAUUUCCUCAUUUACUUCCGUAGUACAUAAUGUAAACAUGAUUGUAUCGAAGCCAAAAUGACGCUACACCCAAGAUUUAUUAUUAUUUAUUCAAUUUAUUUUGGAAACUGUUUAACAGCACGUGAAACCCCAAACUAAUAACUGAUGUGAAUAACAAAAUUUGACAAAUUUCCAAAACUAAUCUACGAAAAAGAAAACAAAAAUUUGACGCCAGAUGAGUGGUAGUGGUUUGUUAAUACGGAUUAAAGUGCAGGCUACAAUGAAAAUAUAUUCGCUUUGUGAUGGCCUGUACUUGCGUUCCCCAGACUUAAAUAUUAUUGAAAAUUGAAUACGGGCAUCUGACUGUCAGUUAAGUGAAACAAUUUGUCACAAAAAAAAAUAAAAAAGUUAUUCAAACCGUUACUGAAACGUAUGUAUGUAUGUAUGUAUGUACGUAUAUACAUUAUAUACGUGUGUACAUAUAUAAUUAUUUUUACUGUCCGUAGUAUCCUUUUGUACAGUAAUGUAGACAUUAUUUCUUGUUCUUUAUAACAAUGUUUGUUUGCACAAAAGCAUCCUAUAACACUGUUCAACAAAUUUAAACUUUCUUUGUGUUUUUUAGUAGUCACUAGGUGAUCCUUAUAGAGCUCGUUACCUUAAAUGCAAAUCCGAAAACCAAAUUGUUGUAAGUAAAUUUAGUUUGUCUCUAUCUUCGUCAAUAUUCAAGUUGAUCAAAACUGUAAAAAGUUUCAACGAAUAAUUAGGCUUCCAAUAAACUAUUUGGUAAAAUAUCACUGCAUAUGCAACUACAAUCCAUAAUUGCCCUUAAAGUCCCUUUUUCUAAAUCUGAUUCCGCGUUAAAAACAAUAAGAGUGGUUUUUCUAGACUCUAGCCUGAAGACUUUAGACUCUAGACGAAUGCCUGAACAAGAAGGGCUGAUAUUCUCAACCGUAAUGGAAUUCAAGAGAGAAUAUUUUCGAAAUAUUUGAUAGUCGAAUACAAUCAUAUUAAAAUGAAGAAAAUGAUCUUUUGUUUGCCGAAUUAUAGUCAUUCGAUUUUUUCGUUUAUUCUUUUAGGGGAUCCUUCUUCGGAUUAUUUUUGUCUACGUCUCACAUUUCUCUAUUUCUCGUAUGGUAGUCGAUGUACCAACAAUGGAUAACAUUUUACCGACAUGAAUGACUUACACUUAUUAUGAAAAUUUAUAACACUUUCUUGUUCUUCUGGUGUCGUAUUUUCACUCUUUUCGAUCCAUGGUAACUUCAAACGACAAAUUACAACAUUUAUUUUCAACACAACAACCUCAAAGGAUACCUUCGAGACAACUGAUGCCUCGAAUGUUUACAUUUGAUGUUCUCCAUUGUAAAUAAAGUACACAACAAAUUAUAACGUACUGGACAUUGCACAAGAGUUCGUCUUUGGAAGAAAUGUGAAUGAAUCUUUCUAAAGAAAGAUCUAAUUGGUCAGUUUUGAUCUGUCCUGAUCUCAUUUUCAAUUCUAAUUUGUACGUAUCCAGUCAAAAUUGUAAAUAAAACACAACGACAGAUUCCUAUUGUCCCACUGCUGUCUCAAAGAUCAUCUCGUGUACAACGAAAAGAAAAGUAUUAACUGCACGAAUUUGUAUUGCUCAUAUAUUUUCGCCAUUUUACGAAUAUUAAUUAAUGUUUCAACCAAGGAUACAGAUAUCGCGUUAAUGUCUUUGUAAUUAU